rnacentral:rRNA from 1 species
CGGUAUCCUGACCGUGCUAAGGUAGCAUAAUCAUUUGCCUCUUAAUUGGUGGCUAGUAUGAACGGACAAACGAGAGCCUGACUGUCUCCUUCCCACAAAUAAAAUUUAACCUCUGGGUGAAAAGGCCCAGAUCAUUCUAUAGGACAAAAAGACCCUGUCAAGCUUCACUAAAAUAAAAUAUUACCCCAAUAUUUCAAAUAAACACUAUAUUAUUAACUUAGUUUAGUUGGGGCGACUGGGGAUCAAAACUAACAUCCCCCCCUUAAAAAGGACAAUUAUCCAUUCAAACUGACCCUUUCAAAGAUCAAGAGAUUAGCUACUGCAGGGAUAACAGGCUAAUUUUCCUCAAGAGUCCAAAUCGAAAGGAAAGUUUGGCACCUCGAUGUUGGCUUAGGAA